CUACUUGGAUAACCGWGGUAAUUCUAGAGCUAAUACAUGCUAAAAAUCCCGACUUCGGAAGGGUUGUAUUUAUUAGAUUAAAAACCAAUGCCCCUCGGGGCUCUCUGGUGAAUCAUGAUAACUAGUCGAAUCGACAGGCCUUGUGCCGGCGAUGGCUCAUUCAAAUUUCUUCCCUAUCAACUUUCGAUGUUUGGGUAUUGGCCAAACAUGGUGGCAACGGGUAACGGAGGGUUAGGGCUCGACCCCGGAGAAGGAGCCUGAGAAACGGCUACUACAUCCAAGGAAGGCAGCAGGCGCGCAAAUUACCCAAUCCCGACACGGGGAGGUAGUGACAAUAAAUACUGAUACAGGGCUCUUUCGGGUCUUGUAAUCGGAAUGAGUACAAUUUAAAUCCCUUAACGAGGAACAAUUGGAGGGCAAGUCUGGUGCCAGCAGCCGCGGUAAUUCCAGCUCCAAUAGCGUAUAUUAAAGUUGUUGUGGUUAAAAAGCUCGUAGUUGAACCUUGGGCCUGGCUGGCCGGUCCGCCUCACCGCGUGCACUGGUCCGGCCGGGCCUUUCCCUCUGCGGAACCCCAUGCCCUUCACUGGGUGUGGCGGGGAAACAGGACUUUUACUUUGAAAAAAUUAGAGUGCUCAAGGCAGGCCUAUGCUCGAAUACAUUAGCAUGGAAUAAUAGAAUAGGACGUGUGGUUCUAUUUUGUUGGUUUCUAGGACCGCCGUAAUGAUUAAUAGGGACAGUCGGGGGCAUCAGUAUUCAAUUGUCAGAGGUGAAAUUCUUGGAUUUAUUGAAGACUAACUACUGCGAAAGCAUUUGCCAAGGAUGUUUUCAUUAAUCAGGAACGAAAGUUAGGGGAUCGAAGACGAUCAGAUACCGUCGUAGUCUUAACCAUAAACUAUGCCGACUAGGGAUCGGACGAUGUUACAUUUUUGACGCGUUCGGCAC
rnacentral:rRNA from 1 species